rnacentral:sRNA from 1 species
UGACUUGUUUGUUCUUGUCCCUGGUGCCUUUAAGCCAGCCACCCUGCUCUCCUCCAGCCCCUUCCACUGUUCCAAGCCCCUUCCUCAGAGGCGUCUCCCCAACCCUCCUGCUGGUGGCCGCUCUUGCACUGCUUGGUCUGCAACUGUGUCUGAUGGCGAGUUGACGGGCGCCGACCUGAAGGACUGCGUCAGCAACAACAGCCUGAGCAGCAAUGCCAGCCUCCCCAGCGUGCAGAGCUGCCGGCGCCUGCGUGAGAGGAGGGUCGCCAGCUGGGCCGUGUCCUUUGAGCGCCUGCUGCAGGACCCCGUCGGUGUCCGCUACUUCUCU